rnacentral:tRNA from 1 species
GUCAGGAUGGCCGAGCGGUCUAAGGCGCUACGUUCAGGUCGUAGUCUACUCAGUAGGCGUGGGUUCGAAUCCCACUCCUGACA